AGUGAACGCUGGCGGUAGGCCUAACACAUGCAAGUCGAACGGCAGCACAGUAAGAGCUUGCUCUUACGGGUGGCGAGUGGCGGACGGGUGAGGAAUACAUCGGAAUCUACUUUUUCGUGGGGGAUAACGUAGGGAAACUUACGCUAAUACCGCAUACGACCUACGGGUGAAAGCAGGGGAUCUUCGGACCUUGCGCGAUUGAAUGAGCCGAUGUCGGAUUAGCUAGUUGGCGGGGUAAAGGCCCACCAAGGCGACGAUCCGUAGCUGGUCUGAGAGGAUGAUCAGCCACACUGGAACUGAGACACGGUCCAGACUCCUAAGGGAGGCCGCAGUGGGGAAUAUUUGACAAUGGGCGCAAGCCUGAUCCAGCCAUACCGCGUGGGUGAAGAAGGCCUUCGGGUUGUAAAGCCCUUUUGUUGGGAAAGAAAAGCAGCAGGUUAAUACCCCGCUGUUCUGACGGUACCCAAAGAAUAAGCACCGGCUAACUUCGUG
rnacentral:rRNA from 1 species